rnacentral:lncRNA from 1 species
GGGGAAUAUAAAGAAAGGGAAGAUUCCAAUAGAAAAGGAAUGCCCUACAUAAAAUCUUAUUUAAAAAAAUGUUUUGAUAUAAAGGAAAAUACAAUUUUGAAUAGGCCAUGACAAAUCAACACUUAUAAAGAGUAACAAGUGACGCAAUUGGAAUGAAAGAAGCUAAAAAUAACAUCUUUUUUCUCAGUAAAAGUUAGAAUCACAUCUUGCGAGCACAUCAUUUCCAGUUGGCACUAAACAACAAAAUAAACAGGUAAUUUUCCAGAUUCAAGAACACAAAAGGAUUGAAACAGCAUUGACCCUUCCUAUUCCAAGGCCUCAGCACCAUACAACCAAGAAAAUAAACUGUUCCCCUGUAAACACUUGAGUAAGUAACUUGUACAAAAGAAUCCAACUCAUUCCAAUCUAAAGAUAGAGAAAUUGCACAUAUCUCCAGGAGGGAAUUUACACAUUCCCCACAAACUAUGCCACAAAAGGGUAACAAAGAUAUGUUCACACAUAGCAAUAACAACAAUUAGGACCCAGUCCCAACUAAGUUAGGGUCAUCUAUAUGAAUCAUCACUUCUUCGUUUAAACUCAACUCAUAUACAUGCAUAUAAAAAUUGCACAUAUCUCAAGGAGGGAAGUUAAACAUAUCUCACAAACAUGUCACAUUCACAAAAGGGUAAUAAAGAUAUGUCAACACAUUGCAACAACAACAACAAUAAGGACUCAGUCCCAACUCCCAAUCAAGUUAAGGUCAGCUAUAUGAAUCAUCGCUUCUUCGUUUAAACUCAACCCAUAUAAAUGCAUAUAAAAACUGCACAUAUCUCCAGACGGGAAGUUAAACAUGUCAUAUUCACAAAAGGGUAAUAAGGAUAUGUUCACACAUUGCAUCAACAACAACAAUUAGGACUCAAUCCCAACUCCCAAUCAAGUUAGGGUCAGCUAUAUGAAUCAUCACUUCUUCGUCUAAGCUCAACUCAUAAAUGGGUUGCUCAGAUGGUAAGCAUCCUCCACAUCCAACUCUAAAAAGAAGCUCAACUCAUAUACAUGCAUACAAAAAUUAAAGACACCCCAUAUACAAGAAAACAAAAAAAGACACAAACUUUGCAAGAAUAUCAAUAUGGGUGUCUCUAAUUUUAAGCUACAACAAAAAGGGGCAAAGAGAAAAAUUAGCUUACUGUUCACCCUCAUCAAAAGCAGGAGGAGGAGGUUGUUCCUUGUUGUAGUGAGACACCAAUGUAUCAAAACAGUAAACAGCCAUCUCCCUAUUUGCAGACACCAUCUUUUUCCUCCCUGCUAAAUUCAAUCAAAUUUCACACAAAACAAGAAUCGAUCUUUCAAUUAACAGUUUAACAAAUCAAUAGAUCAAAUUUCAGUCAAAUUAAAGAUUCUAAAAAAGGGUUUUUUUCCCCUUUCUUCUUAUGUGCCUAACAAAUCCUAAGCAGAUAUGGGUACAGAUUACAGAAUAAGAACAAAGCAAAGAGCCUAGUGAGAAUUCCUCUUCCUUUUUCCACUUUGGGCUCUUUUUUGAGUUUUUUU